UACAGAGGGGGCAAGCGUUAUUCGGAAUUACUGGGCGUAAAGGGUGCGUAGGCGGGUCUUUAAGUCAGGGGUGAAAUCCUGGAGCUCAACUCCAGAACUGCCUUUGAUACUGAAGAUCUUGAGUUCGGGAGAGGUGAGUGGAACUGCGAGUGUAGAGGUGAAAUUCGUAGAUAUCGGGUAGAACACCAGUGGCGAAGGCGGCUCUCUGGACGGAUACUGACGCUGAGACGCGAAAGCGUGGGGAGCAAACAGG
rnacentral:rRNA from 1 species